UACGUAGGGCGCGAGCGUUGUCCGGAAUUAUUGGGCGUAAAGAGCUCGUAGGUGGCUUGUUGCGUCUGCCGUGAAAGCCCGUGGCUUAACUACGGGUCUGCGGUGGAUACGGGCAGGCUAGAGGCUGGUAGGGGCAAGCGGAAUUCCUGGUGUAGCGGUGAAAUGCGCAGAUAUCAGGAAGAACACCCGUGGCGAAGGCGGCUCUCUGGGACGGUACUGACGCUGAGACGCGAAAGCGUGGGGAGCGAACAGG
rnacentral:rRNA from 1 species